CAGCAUUUAUACCAUAUGGAGAAGGAAGAUUCUUCAAAAUGAGGACAAAGAAAUUAGCCAAGAGGUUCAAUUACUUGACUUGGGAAUAGGAAGAAUUGGAGUUGACACUUUAAGUAAAAGUACUCGAGAAGAAGAGANAAGAGAUGGCAAUGAACUCUCAGGAUUUUCCUAUGAUACCGUUCAAUAUCAUAUAUGAGGCAACGAAACAUUUUUCUGAUGAAGCCAAACUUGGAGAAGGCGGGUUUGGCCCUGUUUACAAGGGCACAUUAGAAGAUGGCAA
rnacentral:misc_RNA from 1 species